rnacentral:rRNA from 1 species
GGGCCCGCACAAGCGGAGGAACAUGUGGUUUAAUUCGAUGAUACGCGAGGAACCUUACCCGGGCUCGAACGGUGCAUGAAUAUACGAGAGAUUGUAUAGUCCUUCGGGACAUGUAUCGAGGUGCUGCAUGGUUGUCGUCAGCUCGUGCCGUGAGGUGUCGGCUUAAGUGCCAUAACGAGCGCAACCCUUGUCAUUAGUUGCCAUCAGGUCAAGCUGGGGACUUUAAUGAGACUGCCACCGUAAGGUGUGAGGAAGGGGGGGAUGACGUCAAAUCAGCACGGCCCUUAUGUCCGGGGCGACACACGUGUUACAAUGGGAGGUACAGAGGGCAGCUAUCCGGUGACGGAAUGCUAAUCUCCAAAACCUUUCUCAGUUCGGAUUGGAGUCUGCAACUCGACUCCAUGAAGGUGGAUUCGCUAGUAAUCGCGCAUCAGCCAUGGCGCGGUGAAUACGUUCCCGGGCCUU